rnacentral:rRNA from 1 species
AUUGAACGCUGGCGGCAUGCUUUACACAUGCAAGUCGAACGGUAACAGGUUAAGCUGACGAGUGGCGAACGGGUGAGUAAUGCAUCGGAACGUGCCCGAUCGUGGGGGAUAACGCAGCGAAAGCUGCGCUAAUACCGCAUACGAUCUGAGGAUGAAAGCGGGGGACCGUAAGGCCUCGCGCGAUCGGAGCGGCCGAUGUCAGAGUAGGUAGUUGGUGGGGUAAAGGCUCACCAAGCCGACGAUCUGUAGCUGGUCUGAGAGGACGACGAGCCGCACUGGGACUGAGACACGGCCCAGACUCCUAGGGGAGGCAGCAGUGGGGAAUUGUGGACAAUGGGCGCAAGCCUGAUCCAGCAAUGCCGCGUGCAGGAAGAAGGCCUUCGGGUUGUAAACUGCUUUUGUACGGAGCGAAAAGGCUUUCUCUAAUACAGGAGGCUGAUGACGGUACCGUAAGAAUAAGCACCGGCUAACUACGUGCCAGCCGCCGCAGUAAAAC